ACGACCUGAUUGGUGAACUACAUUGGACUAAAAGGACUUUGAGUGGGCUCAUAGAUCCCAAGAGCCUACAUGACCAGGACUGAGCAGACAUCUGGCUUCUCUGUGGGGUUUUUCUUAUCACUGAGUGGGGGGGUUUAGACUUAGGCUUUGUCUUCAUGAGCUGUUACAGAGAUGACUCCUCUUGGGUGUGAUGCCUCCCUCUGCCAAGGUGGGCAUCACCCACCCGCUUGCGUGGGAUCACCCAGCUGGAGGUGCUGAGAAGCAGCCCCUGGAUGCUCAAGGAAGAUGUGUUUGAUGCCGUCGUGAGAAGAUGCAGGUGUUUCCUGUUCCCUAUCCUCCUGCGAGACUGCUUCCGGUGAUCAUGCCGAGUGGGUGUGACCCUGAAACCCAGGGCGUGUGAACUGCCUCAGGAGUGAUGGUCAUAGAAACCUGGAAGAACCCUGCCCUAGAAAAGUCACGCUGUGUCCCAGGUCAAGGUCUUGGGGCAGGUGGGAUUAGAGACCCAGGUCGACACGGCUGGGUUACCAACGUCCCCUUUCUGCAGAUGCAAAAACUAGGGCCCAGAGAGGUCGAAGAGCUGCCCGUGGUCACACAGCUCUGACACGGCAGGGCCAGGACUCUACUGCAGGUUUUGCUGACGUCAGGAGACCAGGAAGCCAAGGCUCAGAGCAGUUCCGAUCCACAGACGCUGGUGUCCGAACCCACCUGCUUGUCCAGGGCUCUGGUCUGCUCCUGUAGCUCCUUGACCUCGGCCUGCACCCGGACCCGACACUUCAGCAGGUGACCAGUG